CCAGUUUGGGCGGAUUCAUCCUUCUGCAGAUCGAUGCUCCAAAUGGCCACUUUUGGAUUGGGUCGGCCGGGCUGAACAUGUCGGAGCAUAUUGCGUUUUGCCCUUGACUCAACAUAAUGGACAAAAUAGGGAGGAACGAUCCGAUCUUACCUUAGGAUAGCGGAUGGCAUUGGUAACCGGAUACUGGUCUUGCACUGAUCCGGGCUCACCAUAAACGGAAAACUCCAUAUGGUCAACUUGGCGAUCAU